GACACACCGGAAGUGGGGUUUUGGUGACAGCAUUCGCUGGCAGAUUGUAAGAAUUAAUUGUUAUCAAUCGUCUCAAACAUAUUAAUAAACUCUGAAUCGGAAAAAGAGCACAGUCUGCCAUGCUGCCAGAUGCAGGACGAGAAGAUCCAAGGUGCAGACUACUUUGGCCACAAAGAUGUUGCUGGUCAGUGCAUGAAGGUCCUGCGUGAAGUCUUCAAUGAGCAGGAGUUCCUAGAGAAAGUGAAGUACUUUGAUGUGGUAGAGCAGACAUGUGGUCUCAGAUGUCAUAUGUCUUUGUGAAGACUGGAGGCCUAUGACAUCGUCGCUGAAAUGUCCAAGGAAAAGUGUUCUUUGCUGGGGAGGAAACAUUCCUAUUUGAGUGGCGUCCGUGAAGCAAGUAAAAUCGCCUUACCUGUGAGCAGUCAGUCACACAAUACCAGCAUGACUACAUCUCAGUCGUACAGAGCAACGGUUCAGUUCCUCACUCAACUGAGUCACUACGCUUUUAAGUGGUGUUUUCAACCAGUGUGUCCUGUACCUCGAGUGUGAGCAGAGAUGACCAAUGCUGUUUGUAAUGCGCCAAUGUUAUGGACAUUGAAUCAAUGUGGAAAACUGAUUGGAUUUGCACAAAUUAACAUAAGGGAAUUUCAUAAUUUUCUUACCCAGCUUUUAACCUAAAUGUAAUGACAUUACGAAAUGUUUUGUUGAUUUCACGUUAGUUGACAACUAGACAUGGAACUGACGUCUGUGCCCAGUGGGACACUUCGUGUUGGUUUAGUUGGAGAUCACUGUAAUAAGAAAUUAAAAGAUUGGCAGCGCCAGUAUGCUUCUAAACAAUUAAUUUUGAUGUACAAAUGGACAUACAGUAUUUCUGUUAUAUGUGGAUUGUUUGUCAAUAACUAUUUAGUGAGGUGCAUGCCAAUGUCGUGCACACAUCAUCAAUAGCUUUCAAAGUUCCAAUGUGUUGGUACAAUGAGCGCUUAACUGUUGAAGUAAUAAAAGUUGAUAACUUAAAUGGAUAAAUGAGUACUU